UUCAUAUGUUGCCUUGACUCUAAAAUUCGCAAGUCCACGGAGAUUGGCCCGCGGGUGCAAAGGUAGAAGGGAGCGUCUUGCAAGACCCACCCGUCGAGCAGGGACAAAAGUCUGCCUUAGU
rnacentral:rRNA from 1 species